AUCUUGGGCUAUCUUAAAAAGUAGUGGAGGUUAUCAGAUGUACAGGUGGUGCAUGGUUGUCGUCAGCUCGUGUCGUGAGAUGUUGGGUUAAGUCCCGCAACCAGCGCACCCCCUAUCCUUACUUACUAACAUUAAGUUGAGCACUCUAGGGAGACUGCCUACGCAAGUAGGAGGAAGGUGGGGAUGACGUCAAAUCAUCAUGCCCCUUAUGUCCAGGGCUACACACGUGCUACAAUGGCUGGUACAAAGGGCUGCGAACUCGCGAGAGUAAGCGAAUCCCAUAAAGCCAGUCUAAGUUCGGAUUGGAGUCUGCAACUCGACUCCAUGAAGCCGGAAUCACUAGUAAUCGCGAAUCAGAAUGUCGCGGUGAAUACGUUCCCGGGUCUUGUACACACCG
rnacentral:rRNA from 1 species